GACGAACGCUGGCGGCGUGCUUAACACAUGCAAGUCGAACGGAAAGGCCCUGCUUUUGUGGGGUGCUCGAGUGGCGAACGGGUGAGUAACACGUGAGUAACCUGCCCUUGACUUUGGGAUAACUUCAGGAAACUGGGGCUAAUACCGGAUAGGAGCUCCUGCUGCAUGGUGGGGGUUGGAAAGUUUCGGCGGUUGGGGAUGGACUCGCGGCUUAUCAGCUUGUUGGUGGGGUAGUGGCUUACCAAGGCUUUGACGGGUAGCCGGCCUGAGAGGGUGACCGGCCACAUUGGGACUGAGAUACGGCCCAGACUCCUACGGGAGGCAGCAGUGGGGAAUAUUGCACAAUGGGCGGAAGCCUGCUGCAGCAACGCCGCGUGCGGGAUGACGGCCUUCGGGUUGUAACCCGCUUUCGCCUGUGACGAAGCGUGAGUGACGGUAAUGGGUAAAGAAGCACCGGCUAACUACGUG
rnacentral:rRNA from 1 species